rnacentral:tRNA from 1 species
CGUAGCCCAGUUGGAUAGAGCGUGAGUUUCCUAAACUUGAGGUCGUGGGUUCGAUUCCCUCCG